rnacentral:tRNA from 1 species
GGUUAUUGGCUUAAGGAGCAAAUUUGUUUUGAAAACAAAUUGAAAGUGUUCAAAUCACUUAUUAACUU